UGAGGAAUAUUGGUCAAUGGGCGAGAGCCUGAACCAGCCAAGUCGCGUGAGGGAAGACGGUCCUACGGAUUGUAAACCUCUUUUGCCGGGGAGCAAAGGGGCCAUUGAUGGCAGGAUGAGCGUACCCGGAGAAAAAGCAUCGGCUAACUCCGUGCCAGCAGCCGCGGUAAUACGGAGGAUCCGAGCGUUAUCCGGAUUUAUUGGGUUUAAAGGGUGCGUAGGCGGGGCAUCAAGUCAGUGGUGAAAUGGUGUGGCUCAACCAUAGCAUUGCCGUUGAAACUGAUACCCUUGAGUGCAGUAGAGGUAUGCGGAAUGUGUUGUGUAGCGGUGAAAUGCAUAGAUAUGACACAGAACACCGAUUGCGAAGGCAGCAUACUGGACUGUAACUGACGCUGAAGCACGAAAGCGUGGGGAUCGAACAGGAUUAGAUACCCUGGUAGU
rnacentral:rRNA from 1 species